UGACAGACUUAGUACUACAUGA
rnacentral:miRNA from 1 species